rnacentral:rRNA from 1 species
GACGUAGGGGGCCAGCGUUGUUCGGAAUUACUGGGUGUAAAGGGUUCGUAGGCGGUGCGGCAAGUCGGGAGUGAAAUCUCUGGGCUUAACCCAGAGGCUGCUUCCGAAACUGCUGUGCUUGAGUGUGGGAGAGGCGCGUGGAAUUGCAGGUGUAGCGGUGAAAUGCGUAGAUAUCUGCAGGAACACCCGUGGCGAAAGCGGCGCGCUGGACCACUACUGACGCUGAGGAACGAAAGCGUGGGUAGCAAACAGG